rnacentral:rRNA from 1 species
GACGAACGCUGGCGGCGUGCCUAAUACAUGCAAGUCGAACGCAGUGGGGACGGGUGAGUAACACGUGGGUAACCUCCCAUCAGAGGGGAUAACACUUGGAAACAGGUGCUAAACCGAUACUGAUGGAUGGACCCGCGGUGCAUUAGCUAGUUUGUGAGGUAACGGCUCACCAAGGCCACGAUGCAUAGCUGACCUGAUAGGGUGAUCGGCCACAUUGGGACUGAGACACGGCCCAGACGUCAACGGGAGGCAGCAGUAGGGCAUCUUAGGCAAUGGACGAAAGUCUGACAGAGAAACGCAGAGUGAGUGAAGAAGGUUUUCGGAUCGUAAAACUCUGUUGUUAGAGAAGCGGUAUCUAACCAGAAAGCCACGGCUAACUACGUGAAAGCAGACACGGAAAUAC